AUUGAACGCUGGCGGCAUGCCUUACACAUGCAAGUCGAACGGUAGAGGGGGCAACCCCUCGAGAGUGGCGAACGGGUGAGUAAAGCAUCGGAACGUGCCCAGUAGUGGGGGAUAGCCCGGCGAAAGCCGGAUUAAUACCGCAUGAGACCUACGGGUGAAAGGGGGGGAUCGCAAGACCUCUCGCUAUUGGAGCGGCCGAUGUCAGAUUAGGUAGUUGGUGGGGUAAAGGCCUACCAAGCCGACGAUCUGUAGCUGGUCUGAGAGGACGACCAGCCACACUGGGACUGAGACACGGCCCAGACUCCUACGGGAGGCAGCAGUGGGGAAUUUUGGACAAUGGGCGAAAGCCUGAUCCAGCCAUGCCGCGUGCGGGAAGAAGGCCUUCGGGUUGUAAACCGCUUUUGUCAGGGAAGAGAUCCUUUGAGCUAAUACCUCGGGGGGAUGACGGUACCUGAAGAAUAAGCACCGGCUAACUACGUGCCAGCCGCCGCAGUAACAC
rnacentral:rRNA from 1 species